rnacentral:lncRNA from 1 species
UUCUAUUCUUCUUCUUUUUGAUCAUGUCAAAAGGGGGAGAAAAUUUGGUGUUGUUGUUGCAUUUCCAACCUUGUAGGCACUCAAAAACAAUUUUCAAAUCAUCACAUACAACGGGGGAGUAUGCACCUAUUACGGGGGAGCAAAGAUUUCAACAUCACACUCUCUUCACAACAACAUUUUGUCAUAAUCAAAAAGGGGGAGAAUGUAAACUACAUGUUUUUGAUGAUGACAAGACCACCAACUAUGAAUGUAAACUACAUGUUUUUGAUGAUGACAAGACCACCAACUAUGGACAAUGCAGCAAGAUCAAAAAGAAGAUCAAACCAUCUUGAAUAAGCUUCCAAAUCCAAAUAAUAAAUGAGUAAAUAUAAAGGUAUAUGAUACAAAUCAAUAGUUCAAAUACUUGAGAACAAUUCAUAUUUACAUAUGCAUUUAACAUGUUUUCGAAAAUCAAAAACAACAUUAACAAAUCAUUUAAAAUC